rnacentral:rRNA from 1 species
CAGCAGCCGCGGGAAUACGUAGGGCGCAAGCGUUGUCCGGAAUUAUUGGGCGUAAAGAGCUCGUAGGCGGUCUGUCGCGUCUGGUGUGAAAUCCCGAGGCUCAACCUCGGGCUUGCAUCGGGUACGGGCAGACUAGAGUGCGGUAGGGGAGACUGGAAUUCCUGGUGUAGCGGUGGAAUGCGCAGAUAUCAGGAGGAACACCGAUGGCGAAGGCAGGUCUCUGGGCCGCAACUGACGCUGAGGAGCGAAAGCAUGGGGAGCGAACAGGAUUAGAUACCCCUGUAGUCCCUGUCUCUUAUAA